GACGAACGCUGGCGGCGUGCCUAAUACAUGCAAGUCGAGCGAGUCUCUUCGGAGGCUAGCGGCGGACGGGUGAGUAACACGUAGGCAACCUGCCUCUCAGACUGGGAUAACAUAGGGAAACUUAUGCUAAUACCGGAUAGGUUUUUGGAUCGCAUGAUCCGAAAAGAAAAGGCGGCUUUGGCUGUUACUGGGAGAUGGGCCUGCGGCGCAUUAGCUAGUUGGUGGGGUAACGGCCUACCAAGGCGACGAUGCGUAGCCGACCUGAGAGGGUGACCGGCCACACUGGGACUGAGGCACGGCCCAGACUCCUACGGGAGGCAGCAGUAGGGAAUUUUCCACAAUGGACGAAAGUCUGAUGGAGCAACGCCGCGUGAACGAUGAAGGUCUUCGGAUUGUAAAGUUCUGUUGUUAGGGACGAAUAAGUACCGUUCGAAUAGGGCGGUACCUUGACGGUACCUGACGAGAAAGCCACGGCUAACUACGUGCCAGCCGCCGCCGUAA
rnacentral:rRNA from 1 species